CCUACGGGUGGCAGCAGUGAGGAAUAUUGGUCAAUGGCCGGAAGGCUGAACCAGCCAUGCCGCGUGAAGGUCAGUGCCCUAUGGGCGUUAAACUUCUUUUGUGCGGGAGCAAUAAUGGUCACGUGUGGCCAGACGAGAGUACCGUAAGAAUAAGCAUCGGCUAACUCCGUGCCAGCAGCCGCGGUAAUACGGGGGAUGCAAGCGUUCUCCGGAUUUAUUGGGUUUAAAGGGUGCGUAGGCUGUGAGGGAAGUCAGCGGUGAAAUGCACCCGCUCAACGGGGUGAAGUGCCAUUGAUACUGCCUGGCUUGAAUGCGGAUGCCGUAUGAGGAAUGUGUGGUGUAGCGGUGGAAUGCAUAGAUAUCACACAGAACACCGAUUGCGAAGGCAGCUCACGAAUCCGCGAUUGACGCUGAUGCACGAAAGCGUGGGUAUCAAACAGGAUUAGAUACCCCUGUAGUC
rnacentral:rRNA from 1 species